AUGAACGCUGGCGGCGUGCCUAAUACAUGCAAGUAGAACGCUGAAGGAGGAGCUUGCUCUUUCCGGAUGAGUUGCGAACGGGUGAGUAACGCGUAGGUAACCUGCCUGGUAGCGGGGGAUAACUAUUGGAAACGAUAGCUAAUACCGCAUAACAGUAGAUAUUGCAUGAUAUUUGCUUGAAAGGGGCAAUUGCUCCACUACCAGAUGGACCUGCGUUGUAUUAGCUAGUUGGUGAGGUAACGGCUCACCAAGGCGACGAUACAUAGCCGACCUGAGAGGGUGAUCGGCCACACUGGGACUGAGACACGGCCCAGACUCCUACGGGAGGCAGCAGUAGGGAAUCUUCGGCAAUGGACGGAAGUCUGACCGAGCAACGCCGCGUGAGUGAAGAAGGUUUUCGGAUCGUAAAGCUCUGUUGUAAGAGAAGAACGAGUGUGAGAGUGGAAAGUUCACACUGUGACGGUAUCUUACCAGAAAGGGACGGCUAACUACGUG
rnacentral:rRNA from 1 species